rnacentral:ncRNA from 2 species
GCCUAGGACGGGGGCGAUGGUCCUUCCGAAGGGAAGGUGAAAAGGGAACGCGGUUCCCGGGGGCGGCUUCGCCCCUGCAAUCCGCGGCUGCCCCCGCAACUGUGUGCGGAGAGCGCCUGGCCGACACGCCACUGGGGUCGCCCCCGGGAAGGCCGGUCGGGCGCGUUCGAUCCGCGAGCCAGGAGACCUGCCAUCGCCAGCGGAUCGUG